UACGUAGGGUGCAAGCGUUAAUCGGAAUUACUGGGCGUAAAGCGUGCGCAGGCGGGUUUGUAAGUCUGUCGUGAAAGCCCCGGGCUCAACCUGGGAAUUGCGAUGGAGACUGCAAGGCUUGAAUCUGGCAGAGGGGGGUAGAAUGCCACGUGUAGCAGUGAAAUGCGUAGAGAUGUGGAGGAACACCGAUGGCGAAGGCAGCCCCCUGGGUCAAGAUUGACGCUCAUGCACGAAAGCGUGGGGAGCAAACAGG
rnacentral:rRNA from 1 species